GAGGAAGGCUUUGGCCCUAUCUGCAGCUGGUGGUUGUUGGUCAUGCCAGCAUUCAAUUUGUGUAUUAACAUAUUUGAUUAAGAUUCUUUCCUCAGAGCUUCUACAGUGUAAUCUUGUAAACAAAAAUUAAAAUGGAAUCUGCUGCUUUGUUCAUCUUGUGUGCAUUCAAACAAGGGCCAGAAGAGAUGGAAGUGCCUCUUUGGUCCUGAUUUACUUGAAAAUUUCAAAUGGAACUGUCUGGGUUUGGUGCCAUCCAUCCUGGCCCGUGAGGGCUGUGUUGGAUAGACAUAACCAGUGACUCUCAGGACUAAUUUUAAAUUAAAUUCCAUGUUGGGAAGAUGAAUAUAAAUGGAUGUACGUACUGUGUCUGUUCUUCCAACAGCUCUGCUUUGCUGUAUCCCAUGUCAAGAAUGGAGGAGGUGCUGGGAGCAGCAGUGUGUCUCUCUUAGCACAGUCUGUGAUGGGAUGCAAGGCACAGCUGGAGGAGGAAGGAAAAGCUUUUCCAAGCUUUGUGUGUUUGCAUAGAGCUGGAUGUUGGGAUCAGAGAGCAGCCACCAAAAGGAAAGAAAGGAUGUGGAGUUUGUGGCUUAGCCACGGAUGUCAGGCCCCUCACAACAUCCAUCUGUGCUGCAGAGAAAGAACCCCAGGGCUGGGGAGUUCUGAAACACCAGCUGCCACCACAGGAAGGAAGGUAUCCCGUGACUGACCCCGUGACCCCUCUUGCCUCCUCAGCUCUUGAGAGGCAUCUGUUGGACUGAAGACUUAAUAAGGAAUUUGAAGACUAAAAUCCUAUCAGGUGUCUCCUGCAGCAAGGAAUCGACCACGUUACAAGGCAAGUCGGUUUUAAUUUGCAUGUAUUGACAAAAGUGCCACAAAAAUCUGAAAUUCCAUUUGUCCCUUUGCAAAUUGAUAAAAAAAAAGCAUGAUACAGAAAUCUAUCCAUACACAGCAUGAUACUUGUACAGGUAAGACAUUUGUACAUCCACUGAACCUCAGGUGAUCCGCCUCAGCUUGGAGAACUCAGGGAAAUGCUGAUUAUUAAUUUUUCUUUUCUUAUUUUCCAUUUUCAGUGCCAAACAUUCGCUCCUAGAAAAACAAUAAACAAAGCACAGCUGAGUAAGAGUUUGGGAAUGCUGCAAGGAGCUGCCAGUCACCAAGUGCCUAGAUCAGGUAUACUGAGUGUUUCUUCCCCAAAAAUCAGAGUUUGAUGAAUCCUAUGUGAAAGCCUCUCCACAAUGUGACAUAAAACUUUGACAGCAGAUCUGCACUUUCUUAGUGCCUGCUAGUACAAACAUGAUUUAUUUCCAGCUCACUACCUGCAGAUUAUUUGUAUCCUGUGCUGCUGCUGACAGCUCAGAAUCAAUCAGAUUUAAGGCACUUCUCACUUUGACAGUUAUCCUGAUGAGCUGCCAGUCCUGUGGCUCAAGCUGCAGGCAUAGCCCACACCUGGCACCAGUUCUUCCUUGCCGUGCAGUGAGGCUUACCAAGUUCACUGAAUUUAGGUGGCCUGUCCUACAUAACCUGUCCAAAGACCUGCCCAGACUUGUUUAAUCCUCAGCCACACCAGGCUGGCUGCAGUACAUGGGAGGAGCAUGAUCUCUACCUUUAACAUCCUCUCCAGCUUAACUGCAUCUGCAGCAAAUCUCCUGAUGCCAUCAGAGAGCUUCUCCACGGCCAUCUGGUCUUCGUUGUGGUGCCAGCGGAAUGCCUUCUCGUCCAGGUGCAUCUUCUCAAGAUCACACGCCUGAGCUGUGCAGGAGAAGUAGAAAAGGAAACAGACCAGGAUAACCCAGAGGGAAAGGAGCCAACCUUGCAUCUACUUCU